AUCGAACCUGUAUAUUGCUCAUAUUCAAGUCCUUUUGUGAAAGAUAGGCGAUGAAUGAGACCGAGUUGAGUGAGACAGAGUUCAGUGAAAGAGAGUUGAGGCGGAGGUGAGUGAAAAGGUGAAGCUGAAAUAAUUUAUAAUGCGGUGAGCUUAUGCAUUAGAAUCUUAUAUGAAAAGAUUUUUUUUUUUUCAACAACUUUUUAUAAAAAACUAGAAUCUUAUAUGAAAAGAUAAUUAAAAGGAAUUUUAUGAAAAGAUAAAUAGAAGGAAUUUAUGCAGUUCAUUCGACUCCUUGGAAUCUCGUAAGAGGAAAAUCAAUAGAGUUCCUUUACCGUUUACGACACCUGCGCACAGUGCAUAUUCAUCUCUCGAGGAUGGAUUUGAUUCUGAUAGUGAUAACGAAGACUCAUCUCUGAUGGCUUGUUAGAAACCUAGUUUGUUAUCUGUAACUGGAUCAGCAGGUUUGCCGAGUAAUGAAGAAUAAAAGGAAUUAUAUGUAAAAAAAAUGAAAAGGAACAAAUAUUAUAAUAAUGAAAAAGAAGAAAACUUGCAUAGUUUUUUUUCAUUUCUUGUCAAACAUUUGAUUGUUUUAAGCCAUUUUAUCUAGUUUUUCAAAGUAAAAUAAAAUUGAAUGAAAUAAUCAUGCCCAGUCUCUUAUGUUUUUUCGUCAAAAAGUUUACAGUUUGUAGUUAAGUUUUCCAAUUAUUUCUGCACAUAAGAAAAUGAGAGGUCGAUAAAAGGUCAGUUUAAUAUUUAAAUUUUCUAUUUUGGUAACAAACUUUAUUGUGUGUAGUUUCUGUACUAGUGGAGGGCCCAAUUCCAUUAUUAUUUCUAAAACUAUCUAGUCACUCCACAACACAUUUAAUUUUCUCACAAACUAUUUCUGGCUAGAAACAACUUACAUAACAUCGUUACAAAGAGAAAACGAAUAUUCUUAUAAUAAUAUGACAAAAGCAACAAGCUUGGUCAAUAGAAUUGCGUUUUUUUCUUCUUCAUCCCUUUCCGCAGUAAAUUGGUUUUACCCCUAUCGCUAACAGCAACGACAAGUGGUUAUAACUAUAUACAGAACCACUGUAAAGCAACUUGAGCAUAUAUACGUAGAGGUAGAAGUAGAACCCCAUACAUUAAGAUUUCUUUCUUUGAUUGCCAAAUAAUGGAGAAUCCACUAAGCAAACAAAAUAAACAUAUCCUUACACGCGAUUUUUUUCCAUUUUGUUUGUGGUCACAUGACUUUUGUUUCACGUUCUGAAAUACAUAUUUUUAAACCGUUGAAAACAAAAAUCGGCUUAGUGAAUCCCUAUAUCUUAAAAACUAAUACGUUUCAAUAGGAAUAAUCAAAAUUUGAAAAAGUAUAUAUAUAGUGAAAGUUAUUAUAUUGAGGACAAGAUAAUCUAACAAAGUUUAAAAAAGAAGAAGAUAGUCUGACAAUGAAAAAUCAUGGAUAAAAGAUAUGUACUAAUCACAUUUUAGCGCAAAGCAGGCUCUCUUUUUUUUUCUGUUACUGCGCAAAGAAGACUCUUCAAUAAAGAAGACACGAAAGAUAAGGUUUUCACAUAACCCAUAUUGAUAUUGUGCGGGCUAUCUGAGUACAAUUAGACAUCUUGACCCAUUUGAAAUUUGAAUAAUAGUCCGUCCUUAUGAUGCAACAAACCGGAUAUUAUUAGAAAUUCUAAAUCAAAAGUUAACAUCAGUAAAUCCAAAACACACAAAGAACUCGUUGCAUAUGCUAAUUAAUCGACUUAUAGAGACUAUUAAUUUAAUUAUAAAUUCUGGCUGUUUCGAAACUGACUAAACCUUAUUGACUAAGACGAUGAUGAUAAUUGUCUAAUAAAAGGGAAGAUUUUGUACUUUCUCUCAUCAUAAAAAAAGUACCUCUAAAACAAAAAUAUUGGUACCUUUUUAGUGAUAGUUCUUUUUAAUCAGUUACGAACUUAUGAUUUAAGAAAAGGACGUCUAAAAGAAAACAAACAAACCAAACAAACCAACACCAUCGAUAAAGGAAAUGAAAGAUGCAUUCCAAAUCAUAAAUUCACUGAUUAAAAUAAUUUUAAAACAUUUUUGAAAAUUUUUUAUUAAAGCUUUUAUUGAUAUAUAUUCAUAUGUAAUAAAGUUCAUAGAAUUUUUAAUAAUAGACUAGUAUAUUUAUAGGUUUUCUCAGUGAUACUUUCAAAAUUCUUAUGACCAAAUAUAUUGAUUAAAUGUACAUUUAUACACUCAUUAUCUUUAUCAGAAAUUUUGUUUUCCAAGCAAUUGAUUUUUUACUAAAAUAUUUAAUUUCUUUGAUUGAUACCAAAAAGUUUAAAAAAUUAUUGAAAUGUUUAUUUUUAUCAAAUUAUAAUGUUGAAGCCUAAAACUGAUAAUUGGGUUUAGAGACUAAUCGAGCAAUAAUCAGAGACAUUAGGGCCAAUGAUUCUAUUUAAUAAUUUAUAAGAUUAAGAAUAGUAAUUACCUUUCAUCCAUAAGCUUAGAGGGACACCAAACAUUUCCUCAUAAAGAUCAUCCAUAGACUCAAUUAAAGUUCUAAAUUUAGUAACCCAUUCAAACAAGUCUACAAAAUCAAUGAUUAUGCAUAUAAAGUUAAGUUAAUAUUACAUAACAUAUUAAUUCCUUAUAAAAACCAGAAGAAUAACCAGAUGUGACUUCAUACCGAUUAGAUAAGUGUUGUCGGAAUUCAUUUGGAGAACUUGCAGGAAUGGAACAGGUACAAACAUUGGGUUUUAGUAAGUGAAAAUCAAUAAAAUACAUGUGUACGUUCGACAAAUGUGAUGUGAAAUUCACGUGGUGUAUUCCUUAUCAAACCAAUGCAUGGUGUCACUUGGAAUCAUCUGAAUACUCCAUAUGUCGUCAUCAAAAUAGCCAAAAUAGUGCUUACCAAUCAAAUAAUUAGGGAUUGUAAUUUAGAUUCUGCAACCCUAAUAUUACAUGAUUAUAAAAUGAAAUUACUUACACAAUAACUCAUCAAAAAUGAAAUGCUGAGCAUAAAUUAUAACUUACAUUUGGGUGAGCCACAAUCAGAUGCCGCUCUUUCGGAUUAGAAGGAUUUAUAGUUUCUCAUACUCGUAGUAUUUUUUCCCAGGCUUUGACAUUGUUCGAUGAUUCAGUGAGAUUUGAAAUUAGGGUAUUGUUGUGUGCCAUUAAAUUCUUUUUUGGAAUUUGCAAAAGCCUCUAUAGUUUCUUUAUGAGUGAGAAAAAAUAAAUGUUUUGAAAAAUUAGCAGACGCAUUUGAUAUGAUCUUUUUGAACGGUUUAUACAUUUUAAGUGGAAUAUUAAAACGAUGACAAAAAUUUUUAAUGUGAGCGAAUACCAAUGUUUACAUCAUUACGGAGAUAACGACUUAAAAGUGAAUUUCACUUAUUUUAAGAUAUGAUUUUUAAAAGGCUCAUUUGUUGAAAUGAAAUUGCCAUUUCACCCUUUACCAGCAAGAAUGCCAUACUGGUUUCAAGAAAUUCAACAAGAAUUAAAACAACACUUUACCAGCAUUGGCUCUCUCCCAUAUCAGAUUCUAUUAGUUGUUCAUGCCCCUAAGCCUCAUCAAUAAUUUGUCUUUUCUUUGCUGUCCGAUCUUCGUUUAUAUUUGAUAAUUUAAGUUAAUUUAUAAGUGGAAGGUUAACAGGUUACAUGCAAUUUGAAAACCAAUUCUUUUUUUCUUACGGUUGCCAAUGUUGUUCUCUUGAAUAUACGAUUCACUAUACCUUGUUACCUUGCGAAAGUAUUAGUUUUGCAAUGUGUCUUGAGAUCUGCCGAUGCAAGUUCUUUAUUAUUCAGAUAAUGUAGCACUUAAUUAUUGUUUUUGGACAAUGGCAGAUGAAUAAUGUUGGUUGGGAGUUCCUUCUUGAUCCAAGUAAGAAGGGGAAUGCUUUUUUUUGUUGAAGACGAUAUCAAAUAUGAGGAUUUUCUCCGCAUGGUUUGUGAAGAUUACAAUAUGAUUAGUGAGACGAAAGCGGUCGAGCUUGCUUAUAUGUUACCUAAAUGCAUAUUGGAGCAAAUGGCUAGCAAAACUCAUUCGAUGUUCUUGAGUAACGACAGAAAUCUUGAAAACUUUAUCACAUUGUCCAAGACACACGUUUUGUGUGUUUAUGUCUCAUUUCUUGCAAACAAAGGUCGUCAAGAUUUGAACAGAAAUCAAAAGCGUGUUGUUAGACAGAAUGCUUUUGCAGAUUUUGGUAGUUUUGGAAAUGUUCAGUACAAGACUCUGAAGCCAUCACUUGAGACUAUGAAACCAUCACAGCUGCAGAAGACUGAAACCAUUAAGUAUGGUGACAUAUUCAGUGGCAAGAAUGGACUAAUAAUGAAAUUACGCAAGCUUUAAGUGCUCGAAAGGUUUGAUUUCAGCAUUAAAAAGUCUUUGAAUCAUUUAUUUUACGGAGAGUGCUUCGUUCCUGGAUGUUCCUGGAAGAUACGUGCUUCAACUAUGUCGAGAUCAUCUCUAUAAUUACUUUUUCAUAAAUAUACUGAUCUUCAUACAUGCUCUGCGGCCAAUAGGUAUUCUCGUCACCGACAUGCAAAUGCAACAUGUAUUGGCAAGAUGUAUGUUGAGGGAUUUAGUGGUGGUAGUGAUCUUAAAGGAAUCCGUCCUAAAUAUAUAAUGCAGUUUAUCGAAUUGACAUCGGUUAUUCGAAGGCUCAUAGCGCAUUGGCAUAUGCACGAGAGAUGGUUAGGGCACUCAUGCCAGUGGCUAUCAAGACGUGCCUUCAUAUCUAUACAAAAUAGAGAAGGACAAUCCAGGUACAAUAACAAAGCUUGAACUUGAUGCUAAGAAAUGGUUUAAGUAUUUGUUCAUUGCUUUUGGCACAUGCACAUGUAUCAAAGGCCUUUUGUUCAUGAGAAGGGCUAUUGUUGUAGAUGGAGCACAUCUAAGUGGUAAGUUCAAAGGUGUUAUGUUAGUGGCUGCAUGUCAGGAUGGAAAUAGGGAUACAUCACUACAAGAAAACAGUCAAAUAGCCAUGGAAUUUUUCAUUGCUAGAGAGGACAAUUUGUUGCUAAAAUGCAGCAGGCGAUAAACGGCUACGGAUAGAAGCUUAUCUGUGGCAUCAGCACCGACGCUAUCUCCCAUCCGUUGCUAUUCCGUAGCUCGUUCGCAACAGUUUUGCGAGCGAAUCAACCGUAGCUAUUAGCGACGACGUAGCUACUGAGUUUUUUAUUGCGCAUUGGCAACACUUUUAGCGUAGCGAAAUAGCCACAGAAAUUAACUACAAUUUUGCCUUAGCCAAGUUGUAGCAAAAGUAGCCACAAAUUUAGUUACGAAUGUUUUGUACCUAAAUAUUGGAUUCGGAUUAGCAACAAAAAGUUGCUUUGAUUUUAAAACAUUAUAGCAUAAAACGAAAUCUGAAAUUCCCAAAACAUAAUAGAAACAUUGCAUUCAUUACUAGUAGAAAACAAAAUAUUAAACCAAAUAGGUCGAAACUAAUGACAUAACAAUAGUUCAAACUAAACACAAAAGAUUCUAAGUGUUAUGUCUUCAGUUGAUUGUAGUAAGUCAUCAACAUCAUCUAGAUUCUCUGCUCAUUGGUGCUAGGAGGUGAGGAUGGAGAAGAGUUGGUAGUUCCUCUAGCUUCACACAAGGCAGUGAGCUGCUAGCUCAUCAAGUAGACAGUUUCAGUCAAAGUAAUCAACUUCUCUAAACGAGAUUGACGAGUAAGAAGGACGGGCUGGUGGAUCAAUGUGAUAAUUGUUCUCCAUUUGUGUUGUUCCAAGUCCAAACAAACAUCGUUUGUGAGGGUUGACUACCUAAUAAACCAGAAAACAAGAAACAAAAUUACAGAAAAAGAGCCACAAGGGAAAUACAGAAUCUUAAAAAUAAUAAUACUCAACUUUAUUCUCAUCGCCAUCAGUGUUGGAGAAGUGUUGUAAAACAACAAUAGACUCAACGUCUCCAACAAUCUUCAUGUGGAUCUACCCCUCUAAGUCAGUAUAGCUGGCUCCUCCCCCAUCUACAUGAUCUAUAAACACAAGGCAAAUGGUAUAAAAGAGUCGCAAGGACAUACAUAAUCUUAACAAUACACAAUAAGACAAUAAGGACAAGAUUCUUGUACGAUAUCUUAUUUGACCUUGGCAUAAGAUUUGGAAACAGAAAUGUGUUGAUGUAUACCUGCCUGAGAGGUGUUCUUCAUAAAAUUUAUUGCGCCUUGUUCAAUAGUAGCUCUUGUAGGGAAACUGCCUCUUCUUGGUGGAUGCAUACUAGAGCCCUAAAUCAAUGAAUCACAUAGUUUAAUAAGAGACUUAAAGAAGAUAUGAAAACGCAGAGACUUAUUAACCCCAGUUCGAUUUUGAAAUACAAACCAUAAACUGACUGAAGACACAGAAAUUGAUAGAAGAAAUGAACCCAGAUCGACUUGAAAAUAUGAACCCUAAUUUGAUUGGAAACGCAGAGAUUAUAAGAAAUAAACCCUAAAUCGAUUUGAAAACAGAAACCCUAACCAACACCCAUAAACCCAAAUCGAUUUGAAGAACAAUAUAUUGCAACAGAGUUUUGGAAAAGAGAAGUACUAUUGAGACAAGCUGUGAUAAUUUGUCGUGAAUGAGAGUUGAGAUUGGGUUGGUCUUUGUCGGCGAUAAGAGUGUUUCCACGGAGAAGAAGAGUUAAAAAGAAAGUGUAGAAAUAUUUUGGCAGAGAGAUUUGGGAAAUUAUUUUAUGGUAGUAAUUGAAUAUUUUGGUGAAAAUUUUAGGCGCCAUUACGAAAAUUUGUGCGUUUGAAUUUAUGAAUGUGUGUCUUUCAAUACAAAUCAAACAGGUUGUGGUAUACGUCAAACUACUAAUAACAUAUUGUAUUAGCUACAAAAAAAAACUAACCAUUAACCAAUAGCAUCUAUAAAACCGCUGUAAUAUAGAAAAGUAAAACAUCCAAUAGUGCAAUAUGAAAAAAACAAUUAUAGCCUUCAAGAUAUGCUAUUGAAAUAACAAAUGUAGCCGUCGGAAACAACGCUAUUAUAAUGUUAACAAUAUAACAGAAAACACAAAAACACUGCUAUCAUAUGUUUUCGCUACGAUAGCAUGUGAGAAACCGCUAUAAUAAGGGAGAACUAUUAUAGCAGACAUAGCAGUUCAUAAUACGCUAUCCCAGGCAUAUGAUAGUGGUUUCCUCGCGCUAAUAUGGAGGUUUUUUUGUAGUGUUUGCCCGUCUUUAUAAAAUAUUUAGGCUGUUACAUCGUUGACAUUUAUAUGUAUGGCUUCACGUUAUAAAAUGGGCUCAAUCAUAGUAAAAAACUUUGUUCAAAAACUCGGCCGAGUAGCCGGUUUUGCAGCCGGGUAAUCGCAACUCGGAGUCCAACCGUGGUGAUUUUAACCAAUCGGUUUGGUAAAUCGCUAAAAAAACAAACCGGCCGCUUAAUAAAACAAUGCGCUAUUAAAUCGAAUUAACUGACGAUUAAUAACAAAAUUUUCUAGGUUAAGCCCAAUAAAAAUGGGCUUUGCCUUUUUUAAAGCCUGAUUGAGUUUCCUAAAGUCUAUAAUACGUGCUCUAUUUAUACUAGUCAUUCCUUCUGCACCAGUUUACAAACGUCCGAUGUGGGAUGUUGAGAUUCACAACUCUCUACAAUAAAAGUCAAUAUUUAAAUAACAAACAAAAAUCGAAUCUACAACAUAGACAUAAGUAACUUACUGAAAACUUUAACACCGGACCACAUUAAUUUAUUUGUAAUAUUCCACAAAACCUUAUUAUAAAUAUACUAUAUUUAAACUGCAAUAGACAUAAUUAUAUUUUGUGAUCUAAUUUGAUAUGUAUUUACAAAUUUCUAUUUUAGUACCAAUGAUAUUUUAUACAUAAACUUGUAUUUAUUAUAUAUAAAUAUUUGGUAUUAUACAUAUAAAUAAGGUAUUAUAUAUAUAAAAGUACAAAAAAAUUCUUUCCCGAUUACUCCCCGAGUUUUUUCCUCUUUUCUAAUAAAUCGCUAGGCCGGUAUGUGCCGCACGCGUAGCACCUAGCGAGAGUUUUCGAACAAGGGUAAAAAAUAAGCCCGUAACAUAAAUUAAUUAACAGGUAGUAAAUUAAAAUAGUUAGCUUGCUGCAUCGUUGACUCGCUUAUGUAUGGCUUUGCAUUAUAAAAUGGACCCAAUCAUAGUAAACAAUUACCCUUUAGCCUAAAUUAAUUUACCAGUAAUCAUAUACAUAACUAUAUCGUAAAUUAUUUACCCAUCAUUUUAAAUAGUUAGCUUGCUUCAGUGUUCACAUUUAUAUAUGUAUGGCACCUAAGGCAAUUGGUACCUUAACCCGCGGGCUUGGCCCGUAAAGUCCCACUGCGGGGCGGGUUUGGGCUUACAUAUCUUAGGCCCGAGAUAUUGCGGGUCUUGCGGGUUGGUCAAUUUCGGGUAUGGGCCAAUGCGGGGCGGGUCGACGCGGGUUUGCGGGGCAUUCGAGACCCGCAUGUCUUUAUCAGUUUUGUUUUUUUCUUAUGUAUGAACUGUUUUGUUUGAAAUUUUGAUUGUUUUAAAGUUUUACUGUUAAUUGUCAUUUGUCUUAUAAGUUGCUUGAUAAUGAUA